AAUCAUCCGGAUGACUGUAGUUGUUCUUGUGAUUGGGAUUCUUUCUGCAAAUCAGUUUAUCAAAAAUAUCUUUAAAAGGACUCUAUCAGGAUUCGAUGCACUCGCUAGAUUUGGAGAUGUGGCGACAGGCGAUCGAGGAUUAUUUGAUGAAGCUGCUUCGAUCUGAUCACUGAAUUUCAUGCUCAAUGGGAGAUUCGAUUAUGUCCUGUGAAUCUAUUGACAUCUGGGAACACGAUGCAGGCAUAUUACUUCCCUCCGGAGAACUGAAAAUCAAACAUGCAAGAAGAAAGAGAUGAUGAAUAAAGCAUUUGUCAGGUAACAGAGAACAGACGUCGCCUGGCUUUAUCGGUACACUGCUUCCUAAUUCAAGAG